rnacentral:lncRNA from 1 species
CAGCAAGACCUGAGUUGCAAGCAGUAGAAACCCAUGCUAGCUGACUCAGGUAGAAAAGACAUUUCGUUAGAAGGAAAUGGGAGUGGUCACAGGAUUGGCAGAACAGUUGGAAAUCCAGCUGGAGAAAUAGACAGGAACAAGCCAGAAGCACACUGAAACCUAUCCAAAAGCAUCCCAGGAGGGCACACUGAGUGCCGCAUGGAGCCUGCACCACCAUGGGGAGGAAGCAGCCACCGCCUUCCUGAAUCCCCACCAGGCAGAAACAUCUCUCCCGUCUUUGAACUUCACCACGCCGUGCAUCUUCCUCUGGGUGUGCAAUCGUCACCUGCGUACAUGAUUGAUUCUGCCCCCA